CCUACGGGCGGCAGCAGUAGGGAAUAUUGCUCAAUGGGGGAAACCCUGAAGCAGCAACGCCGCGUGGAGGAUGAAGGUUUUCGGAUUGUAAAAUCCUUUUGUUAGAGAAGAUAAUGACGGUAUCUAACGAAUAAGCACCGGCUAACUCCGUGCCAGCAGCCGCGGUAAUACGGAGGGUGCAAGCGUUACUCGGAAUAACUGGGCGUAAAGAGGGCGUAGGCGGGAUAGCAAGUCAGAGGUGAAAUCCUAAGGCUUAACCAUAGAACUGCAUUUGAAACUGUUAUUCUAGAGUAUGGGAGAGGUAGGUGGAAUUCUUGGUGUAGGGGUAAAAUCCGUAGAGAUCAAGAGGAAUACUGAUUGCGAAGGCGACCUGCUAGAACAUAUCUGACGCUGAUGCGCGAAAGCGUGGGGAGCAAACAGGAUUAGAUACCCUAGUAGUC
rnacentral:rRNA from 1 species